GAUGAUCUGGGUUGCUUGAUGUUGAUUCCAUAACAUUCAGAAGCUCGGAUUUGAAGAUCUUUAAAAUCUGGAAAUUUUCAUUUUUGUGUUCUGACAACGAAUGUCAGAGGCUGUAGAUCCCAUCCUGUUAAGAGUUUUUGAUGUUUAAAGCUUGCUAUGUGUAGCCUGUUAUGUUGUCUUUAUUCUGCAAAAGGAAUCAUGGUCAUAUCUGUUGUAGAUUAGAAGUUAUUGAUGGUCAAACUACCAUUGACCGAACUGCUCAAGAACUUUCUGGGUUUUCCAGAAAUGUUCAAGAACAGUUGUUGAGGUCACAUUUGACCGGCCUCUUUCUGUUGGAUCUGUUGUUGUUAUAUGCCUUAUAUGUAAUAGAGUUGUAGUAUUACAUGUUAUCUACAACCUAGAAUCAAUAGAUCCCUUAGAUCAAACUCAGAAUGAAAGAUAUAAAG
rnacentral:lncRNA from 1 species